rnacentral:lncRNA from 1 species
UGUGUUUGUCUUUACAUUUUUCAGGUAUUUUCUUAGCUAUGAUUGAGGAAUAAUUGUGGAAUAUGUAAUAUAAGUGAAAGUUCAUUGAAAUGAAGGCUACAUUUGAAGCUAAUUUCCUUGUUUUUUACUGCUUCCAUGCUCUAUAACUGGACUUUAAAUGUAGAUGUUAAUUAGUUUUUUAUUUCUUUGAACUUGUGUGAGUGACCUGCAAGUGGUACU